rnacentral:rRNA from 1 species
AUUGAACGCUGGCGGCAUGCUUUACACAUGCCAGUCGAACGGUAACAGGCUGCAAGGUGCUGACGAGUGGCGGACGGGUGAGUAAUGCAUCGGAACGUGCCCAGUCGUGGGGGAUAACUACUCGACAGAGUAGCUAAUACCGCAUCCGAUCUAUGGAUGAAAGCGGGGGACCGUAAGGCCUCGUGCGAUUGGAGCGGCCGAUGUCAGAUUAGGUAGUUGGUGGGGUAAAGGCUCACCAAGCCAACGAUCUGUAGCUGGUCUGAGAGGACGACCAGCCACACUGGGACUGAGACACGGCCCAGACUCCUACGGGAGGCAGCAGUGGGGAAUUUUGGACAAUGGGCGCAAGCCUGAUCCAGCAAUGCCGCGUGCAGGAAGAAGGCCUUCGGGUUGUAAACUGCUUUUGUACGGAACGAAACGGCUCUGGUUAAUACCCGGGGCUAAUGACGGUACCGUAAGAAUAAGCACCGGCUAACUACGUG